AUGUCUCAGGCGGCCUACAAACACUUCACCACCAUUCUUGGCUCCUCCACUCCGCGAGAUCACUCCAUCUGCCUAGAGACCAUCGACAGCAGAAACUUCGACUUGUCUGAGCUUGACCUGCCGUUCUCCGAGGCCGAGAUACGGGAAGCUAUCAAGAAAAUGCCCACCGGGAAAGCGCCCGGGCCGGAUGGAUUCACUUUGGAGUUCCUACGUGCUUGCUGGCCCAUCAUGAAGGGUGACAUUUGCGCGGCCUUCAAGAAGCUCUAUGCCAUGAACGGCCGUGGUUUUCACAAACUUAAUGAAGCCUUGCUUUUGCUCCUGCCCAGGAGACGCGAAGCGGCGGCGCUCACGGACUACCGGCCCAUCAGCUUGAUCACAUCCUGGCAAAGCUAUUUGCCAAGGUCCUGUCCCUUUGGCUCGCCCCGUAUGGGGGAAAUUGUCUCCGUCAACCGGAGUGCAUUCAUUGCUGGGAGAUGUGUUUGCGUCAAUUUCCUCCAAGUGCAACAGACCGCCUGGCUCCUUCACAACCUCAAGGAGAUGAGAGUUCUCCUCAAGCUGGACAUUGCGAAGGCUUUUGACACUGUGUCCUGGACCUUUCUCCUCGAGGUUUUGGUGCACCUCGGAUUUGGUCGAUGCUAG
rnacentral:rRNA from 1 species